GUACUCAAUGUUGAUUAUUUACAUUGUAUUUUGUAUAAAUUACAAAACACGUUGUUGGAAUGAUGUCAAGGCUGUUAAGUAAUGUAAUACUUGUAUAAAUACUGCCAAAUUGCCAUCUCAGAAGACUAUAAUAAAUACAUUUUGUAAUCAAUUUUAUAUGAUAGAACCCAUAGUAUACCAUUCAAAAUUAAUCAUGCACAUAUUUUAAAAACGGUAUCAGUCUCUGAUUUCUGUCACUUGUUGAAUUAGGGUAUGGACUGAAGAAACUGAAGGGGAGGGCAGCCUCUAUAGGAAGAACAACAGUCUCGAAUCAUCCCCACCCCUGAGAUCUCCCAGACACUAAGCCACCAACCAGGGUAUCUUUGAACUUGGGACAUCUUGCCUCAUUCUAGGUGCUGAGACUACAUUCAGGCAAUUUCCAGCUUUCUUUCCUUUAUCUUAGUAAGAUGUGUUAGAUCAAAUAUGUUAAUAUUAUGCAGUAAAUCCUCCAUAUGUUUACUUAUAG